rnacentral:rRNA from 1 species
GACGAACCGUGCGAACGUUGUUCGGAAUCACUGGGCUUAAAGGGCGCGUAGGCGGCUUGGCAAGUCGGGGGUGAAAUCUUUCGGCUCAACCGGAAAAGGGCCUCCGAUACUGCCAAGCUCGAGGGAGGUAGGGGCGGACGGAACUUCCGGUGGAGCGGUGAAAUGCGUUGAUAUCGGAAGGAACGCCGGUGGCGAAAGCGGUCCGCUGGCCCUCUACUGACGCUGAGGCGCGAAAGCCAGGGGAGCAAACGGG